rnacentral:tRNA from 1 species
CCAGUGGCUCAUAUGGUAAAGAAUUUGCCUACAAUGCAAGAGACCCAGGUUCAAUUCCUGGUUGG